rnacentral:rRNA from 1 species
GUGAGGAAUAUUGCGCAAUGGAGACAACUCUGACGCAGCCAUGCCGCGUGCAGGAAGAAGGCGCUACGCGUUGUAAACUGCUUUUAACCGGGAAGAAACCCCAGGACGUGUCCUGGGUUGACGGUACCGGAGGAAUAAGCACCGGCUAACUUCGUGCCAGCAGCCGCGGUAAUACGAAGGGUGCAAGCGUUAUCCGGAUUCAUUGGGUUUAAAGGGUGCGUAGGCGGAGCGUUAAGUCAGUGGUGAAAUCCUGCAGCUUAACUGUAGACUUGCCAUUGAUACUGGCGCUCUUGAGUGCGCUUGAAGUGGGCGGAAUGUGCCGUGUAGCGGUGAAAUGCUUAGAUAUGGCACAGAACACCAAUUGCGAAGGCAGCUCACUAAGGCGAUACUGACGCUGAGGCACGAAAGCGUGGGGAUCGAACAGGAUUAGAUACCCCUGUAGUCC